UUCGGUGCGAUCGGAUUACCGACGGAGAUGAAAAUAUCUCAAGCCCUCCUCGAUUCCUUUCACUCCCCCACGACCCCGCCGCCGCCGCCUCCUCUCCUGCUGCCGCCGCCGCGCCACCACAGCCACCUCCUCUCAUCUCUGCCUUCUCUCCUGCUGCCCCCGCCGCGCCACCGCAGCUGCCUCCUCUCAUCUCUGCCUCUCCUGUUGCCCCCGCCGCGCCAGGGCCUCGCCUCGCCCUCAAGUGCACCGUCGACCUCCCAGACCUUGUUCUCCGCCUCGUCGCACUGACCAUCUUGAGCUCGAGCCGAGGAGCGGCCCGUGUCGCGUGGUGGCCAGAUGCGGCGGCCCCAUGCUCAAGCGCGGUGCUGGUGAACGCGAGGAGCAGCAGCCACUAAAGGACGCGGUGGUCCGUGCCGUCGCCGUCGCCGUCGUCUACCGGCAGAAGGUCAAGCCAAGAUGAAUCAACAACACUACAACUGAAACGACUAUAGGUCCUGGAGCCGAGGUGUUCGAUAAAAGCAAAAUGAUGGAUCUAUCACUUCUCUCCUCGUUCGGUCAGAAGGAGCAGUGAGACCGGAGCUGCGGAGAGCCGGAGUCAGGGACAAGAAGCAGCAGGGACCGGGCUUCCGCUGCAGUGGAGUGGAGCUGCAGGGAGAGGAAGGAAGCACCAGAAUUGUUAAUUUGCUUCUGCACUCACCAGGGAUGUAGAUCUCCGGUUCCAGAGGCCGGAUCACCCCUUUCCUCUGAACCUUGUUCUGGAGCAAGAACUGCAACAGAAGAUGGGAUGAAUUAACACAUGUUCCUUUCUGAUGUAGGUGCAGGAUGUCUGUGUGUGUGUGUUGUGCUUGGAGUGCAGUAGUACCAGGGCUCCUAUCGCUGCCAGUACCCCGACGGUGAAGGCCAUGGCGGUGGUCAACCUGCUGUUCUCAAUCUUUCAGAACUCCAGCUGCGUCGCUUGGUGCUUCUCGGUGGGUCGCCCGUCGGGGUACUCCACCUCGACUUCAUGGUGGAGUAGUACCAUAUCCUGAAUCGUGGGAGCAGAGCAAACAUUUAGCUCAUCAUGGUCCAAGCCAUUCUCUGUUCGGAGUCGGGGACAAGAAGCAGCAGGGACCGGGCUCCCGCUGCAGUGGAGUGGAGCUGCAGGGAGAGGAAGGAAGCCGGUGACAGAAGAAAAGAAGAUGCCGGCUCUGGUUCAUCAUGGAGAAACAGCUGCUCGCCCUCCUCCGCCUCUUCCCUAACCAUGGGUUCGUGAGACAAUGCCAACGAAUUGUCGGUCACGGGUACCGAGUCACUCUCAUGUGAGGUAAUUUUAACUUCUCAGUUGGAUAUUAGUCAACAUCCUUCAAGUUAGGAAUGUUCAGUGUCCCCAUAUCUAAUUUAUCUUCUUGGUUACCCUUGCUCCACGUUCCUCUGCUCCCCCCUUGCGUGUUGACAAUGGAGGCUUUACAUCACAGUGUGAGGCAGUGGUGCCUGCAAUAAGUGUAGAUGACGAGGAAGAGCUGCAUCCACUAGGUCUCUUCUCCAUGGUCGUUGUGUUCCCAAGCCCAUGUGAACUUUUUAUCUUUUUUAUUUCUUCACUUCCAUUUCUCCACUUUUCUAGGCCAAGAACCGUCUUCACUUUUCAGGUUGCUGCUGCUACAAAUCCAAAUAAUUGUUUUGUUAUCCAUGGUGCUUCUCAAUGUUCAAAAAAGCAGAAAGCUUAAGCGGAGCGGAAGGCCACAACUCAGAGCAAUGGGCGCUUAAGCGUAAGCGCGUUUAAGCGUUUUUUUUUAAAUUGGCCAGAAUCUGACUGUUUCUGAGUAAUAUGCAGGGAAAAUAGGAAAGUUCUCUCUCUUCUACUGAUGCAGUAGCACCAUCAUCAUUACUAGCAUUAUCUCCUUUGUAAAUUGGAGUUGUUAUUUUUGCUUGGAAGUGAAGUUGUUACCUUUGUUUCUUUGUUAGUAAGUGUAAAUAUAAAAUUUGAUGUCCAUAUUUUUUGCAAAUGAUGUCUCCAUCGGCUACGGGUGUUUUCUUUUGCCAUUUGCCAAUUAUACUUGCCCCCUUUUGCUACUCAAAUGCCGAUGAUGAAUUAAAAAAUAAGAUGCACUGGAGAUGGGUCUAUACAGUACCUAAAGGAUGUAAUAGUUUUCCAUUGGUUCAAAGUGAUGUGAUUAUGUUGUGAUUUUCAGAAUUGCUACUCCAGUUUUGUUCACCAUUCAUAGAACAACACUCUGCUGGUCUUGCUAUUCGCCAUUUUCCUCCCCACUAUAAUGCUGCCACUCUGUGAUGCCUCGGCAAGAAGGCCAAUCGCAGGGAGAUACGCCAUGGCAUGUCCUGAAGAGGCAAUCAGGUAUUUCGGUGGCCUCAAGCCCUCAACCCUCUGGAUCAUCCGUCCGCUGUGCGUGCUCUCAUCCGGGUUGCCGAGGGACGCCUCCUCCUGCGGCGCUCCUGUCCAAUUUUUUGUUUAUGUAAAAAAUUCUUACCAUCGCCUCACCUAUUUGGACAAUUAGGUGAGCUCUGCAAUUUGGUUCUGUAUCCUUAAGAGGGAACACAUUUUCCUUAGUCAUGCUACCAUAGUAACAUAAACUCUUACUCCAUAGUUACAAUCCCUAAAUUGUGGUGAGAUGCAAUGCUAAGCAAAUGGAAGAUAACAGUUUGUACCAUCAAAAGUUCAAUUACAGUAUUUUGCCCCACUAAAAGAGAUGGAUAUUAGCAUUGUCCGUGGUGCAUUUUGUUUGCAUUUCCUGUGAUAGAAACGGGUGCAUUUCGUUUACAUUUUGCCAUGCCGGAUUUUAGAUACGAUGUUGAUGCCUACAAUUCGUUUUACUGAAUUUAUGUGGCAGAUGAGAACUGAUACAUUACUGCCCUCAAUCCUUGUGCUUUUCUGUAUAUUUAGGAACAUGAUACUACACUUGAUCUUUUCGUAAAAUAAAAACUGCUUGCAACAGAGAUGAUGCUUGUGAUUUUAGUCAGCUAAUGUUGAUACUAUAUGGGAUUUUUUUUUAUUGAAGGAACUGUGCACAUAAUGAACCAUAUAUUUCUUAUCCAGUUAUGUAUGCUCAUUACUAAUCUGAUGUUUUGUUUUCUUGUGAUGGACACUGUUGCAUUUGUUGUCCAUUUUUGCCAUCUUCAGCUUCAGGUAUCUGCUUUAUGUGGAAAUAUGCCAAUGGAUAAUAUCCUCCGGAUUAACAAGUUCCUGUGUGCUGCUGCUCUUAUUAUCUACCUGGUAGUCUUGUCUGACACUUCUAUUAAUGGCUUUUUCCUCUGGAGUACCAAGAAAAAUAGCAGUUAUUUUUUUUUUCUUUUUGUGACUUCUUAAAUGUUUGUUUCUUGGAUGAGUCCACUCAUUUGGUAUUUCUCUGUGCUAUUGAAAAUUCUGUGAUGCUUACUGUCUAGCUGAUUUUUUGUAGACCAUUAGUUAAGAAGGUUGUUGAUUAUAAAAAUGGCACCAUAAUCUGUCAUAUGGUGGUAGGAAAUGUGGUUACAUGGAAUUCUUUAUCUUCUUAGAUAAAGAACUAUUAUCAAAUAAAAUCUGUAUAUGAAUUUCCGUGUCUCUUGGUUAUUUUAUAUGUACGUUAUAUUAUUCCUAACCAAUUUCUUAGUAUUACUUAGGGUUUGUUUGUUUGGGCUGCCAUUUCCAUGGCUGAAGCUGAAGGAGCGGCUGUAGCUGGUAAUGAAGAGAGGCACUUUGCAUUUCUCCACCAGAAGUAUAGAUCGAUCAAAUCACCCAGGAAAGCACACAAGCAAACUGUUGGAUUGAUGAACAGUAUACUACUCCUUGGUCCAGAGGUUACACGGGUGGCGUCACAACGACAGCUGACGGAACAGAGGAAGGCGACCUCGGUCCAAAAGUUUGAUGCAUGCUUGGUGUCCAGGAAUCGAAUCAGAAUGACAGCCGGAGCUCAACAGAGUUAGGGAAACUACCUAGGAUCAAGGACUCACUAAAAAAAUAAGGCGAUUCACGGCGGCGUCCAGCGGGCCUGCAUGUUGGACCCUGAGCGUGGACGUCAAGUCGGACAGAGGGCUGGUGGAUCCCGCCUGUUCCUACGGCUGGAGUUGCAGCUGUGAGCAGCGGCGUCCCCGACGGGGUCGACUAGAAGGAGGAUCCAGGAGGAAGAGGAAAUGGAUUGAGGAGGGAGGUAGUGAAGUGGAGUAGGGGUAAAACGUGAAGGGGCAUGGAGUAGCGGGCGCGUGUCCCGCGAGUUGGCGCUGCCAGCCUGACUGGCGGGUUCGCCAGAAGGACCCAUUGGUCAGUAGCAAAGGGAGAGGUUGAAAGAAAAAUAAAUAAAAAUAAAAAAUUGAAAAUGGCUGGAAUAUCUAAUCCUCCUCUACUCCCUCAUAAUCUACUCGGAAUUAAUUUCAUGGCUCAAAACUCAUCAGUAAUAUCUUGGAAAAUUUCACAUAUGCUACUACUUAUAUAAUAUAACUGUGAAAAUGUUCAAGACUUUUCAGAAGGGCCCUUUUUUAGAUUUGAAUUCAAAUAUGCCAUGAGUUUGGAUUUGAACUGUAAGCCGGUGAUAUGAAAUUCUAAAAUUCAUUAAUCUUUUACUAGAGUUUGUAAAUAACACACGACUCCGAGAUAUUGCAUGGAGUAUGACUUAGACGUGUCAAACUAUUUUAAAAAUUUGUUUGCAGAUAACUCGUGGUUUGGAUCAGUUUUUUGCGUCUUAGAAAACAUGUAUUAUCAUGAACCAUCUAUCUAUCAUUAAUCCG